GCUGGCGGCGUGCUUAACACAUGCAGUCGAACGGGAAUUUGUAGCAAUACAGAUUUCCGUGGCGAACGGGUGCGUAACACGUGGAUAACCUUCCUUCAGGUGGGGAAUAACCCAGUGAAAAUUGGGCUAAUACCGCAUAACAAGACGAGGGCACAUGCUUUUGUCUUCAAAGGAGCAAUUCGCCAGAAGAGGGAUCCGCGGCCGAUUAGCUUGUUGGCGAGGUAACGGCUCACCAAGGCAAUGAUCGGUAGCCGGAUUGAGAGGUUGGCCGGCCACACUGGAACUGAGACACGGUCCAGACUCCUACGGGAGGCAGCAGUGGGGAAUCUUGCACAAUGGGCGAAAGCCUGAUGCAGCAACGCCGCGUGGGGGAUGAAGCUUCUCGGAGUGUAAACCCCUUUCGACCCGGAAGAAUGCCCGCAAGGGUUUGACGGUACGGGUAUAAGAAGCCCCGGCUAACUACGUGCCAGCAGCCGCGGUAAUACGUAGGGGGCCAGCGUUGCUCGGAAUUACUGGGCGUAAAGGGUCCGUAGGCGGUGUGGCAAGUCGGGAGUGAAAUCUCUGGGCUUAACCCAGAGGCUGCU
rnacentral:rRNA from 1 species